CGCAUCUGUGCAUGCAGCAUAUCAAUAAGCGGAGGAAAAGAAACUAACAAGGAUUCCCCUAGUAACGGCGAGUGAAGCGGGAAGAGCUCAAAUUUGAAAUCUUAAAGGGUUUCCCUUUACGAAUUGUAGUUUAAAGAAGUGUUUUCUGUUGAGGUUUUGGUAAAAGUUCUUUGGAAUAGGACAUCAUAGAGGGUGAGAAUCCCGUAUUUGACCUUUACUUUCAACUUUGUGAUACACUUUCAAAGAGUCGGAUUGUUUGGGAAUGCAGUCCAAAAUGGGUGGUAAAUUUCAUCUAAAGCUAAAUAUUGGCGAGAGACCGAUAGCGAACAAGUACCGUGAGGGAAAGAUGAAAAGAACUUUGAAAAGAGAGUUAAACAGUACGUGAAAUUGUCAAAAGGGAAGCGUUUGACACCAGUGUUGUUUUUCUGAAAAUCAAUUAAAGAACUGUUUAUGCUAAGCUGUUUAGACUUUAUCAGCUAUCUGUUUAGUUUUGAGCUUUUCUUUAAUGCACUUUUCAGUUAACAAGUCAACAUCAAUUUCUUUUGCUGUAAAAAAGCUUGAGGAAGGUGGCUUGAGAUUCGUCUUAAGUGUUUAUAGCCUCUUGCCUAUGCAGUCGGAGAGAUUGAGGUCUGCAGCGUAGAUCCUUCGGGGCUAAAUGCAUUUGUGCUAAGUUAUAGCAUUUUAUAGACAACUUGUUGACUAUGAUUUGUCUUGUAGCUUACUCGCUUAUGUUAUUUUACCUACGCUUAGGAUGUUGAACGCGCGCAGAGUCUC
rnacentral:rRNA from 1 species